UCUGCAGACUCAGGCUGUCACUUCCAGUUCAGAAUCUCAGGCUAAGUGCCAAACUUCAGCACAGAACAACGCCUCACCUCUGACUGUUGCUGAGCUCCUUGGCUUGUGUACCUUACCCAGCAAGGCUUCAGCAACUUAGUGCUCAGAAUAUUAACAAUACUGAAACAGGGAAUUGCUUCCUGGUAAGCCUUCAGUGUCUGUCUAGCUGAAAUGAUUUUACACCCUUCUUGCGGUUCAUAGUGGGAAUGGUCUCACAAAGGACACAAAGAUCUGAACAUCAGAUUUAGGUGAAAAAUUUCCUGCUUCAGCCUCUCUUGCCUGUGAUGCACAGUAAAUACAUCAGCUACAGGUCUCAGGAGAGGCUGAUCUAAAAAGAAGGCUCCUGCUGCUGUCUUAUCUCAGGUGAGAGGUGAUUUACUGUUUAAAGGAAUAAGAGCCAGGCCACAUUUGCAAAAAGAAAAUACAAGUGAAGGAAGUUGUAGGUAUGUUUUUUUAUUGUGCACAAACUAGUGAGACAAUGUGGCUGUAGCGAAAAGGGAUCUAAUAAAAAAAAUCAGAUCUGCACUUUUCUCCCUGACAAAGCUGUGGGGUAUCUGCUUAGAAGUCUUUCCAGUUAUUGCAAAAACACACCUUUCUAGCUAAUGCAAAAAGGUGAAAUCCAACUGAAUGUGUCCAAAAUACAACUGCAGCUUUUAAAGAGAUAGUAGUGUAAAAAUAAUGUAUUUACAUAUCUCCAAAUGAAGCUUUCAAAACUGGUUAAAGCAAAACAUACUUUUCCCACUGGGAACCUGUGCCA